UCCCCUCCUCCAGCUGGUAUAAUAAUAACUCCACUACCAUAGACGUCCCCUCCUCCAGCUGGUAUAAUAAUAACUCCACUACCAUAGACGUCCCCUCCUCCAGCUGGUAUAAUAAUAACUCCACUACCAUAGACGUCCCCUCCUCCAGCCCCCACAGAGUAGGAGUGUAUCUGGACUGGUCAGCCGGCACUCUGUCCUUCUAUAGAGCCUCCUCUGACACACUGACCCACCUGAUCACAUUCACCUCCACAUUCACUGAGCCCCUCUAUCCAGGGUUUAGGGUUGAUGAUGUUGACUCUUCAGUGUCCCUGAAAUAAUAACUGGACACACACACACACACACACACACCCACACUGGACACACACACCCACACUGGACACACACACACACACACACUGGAUACACACACACACACACACUGGAUACACACACACACACACACACACUGGAUACACACACACACACACACACACACACUGGAAACACACACACACACACACUGGAUACACACACACACUGGAUACACACACACACUGGAUACACACACACACUGGAUACACACACACACUGGAUACACACACACACUGGAUACACACACACACACACUCACUGGACACACACACACUCACUGGACAAACACACACACUGGACACACACACAAACACACUGGAUACACACACUGGAUUCACACACACAAACACACUGGACACACACACUCACUGGACACACACACGCUUGACACACACACACACACUCACUGGAUACACACACACUGGAUACACACACACUGGAUACACACACACACACACACUGGAUCCACACACUGGAUACACACACACAAACACACACACACACACACACACUGGACACUCACACAUGUUAAAUCAGUUUCUGGACCACAGGUUCUAGAACAGCUUCUAUCCCAGUUCUAUCUGCCUGUUAAAUCAGUUUCUGGACCACAGGUUCUAGAACAGCUUCUAUACCAGUUCUAUCUGCCUGUUAAAUCAGUUUCUGGACCACAGGUUCUAGAACAGUUUCUAUAUAGGGAAGGUAGGGGAGAGGAGGGGGGUAUAGGGAAGGUAGGGGAGAGGAGGGGGUAUAGGGAAGGUAGGGGAGAGGAGGGGGUAUAGGGAAGGUAGGGGAGCGGAGGGGAUAUAGGGAAGGUAUAGGGAAGGUAGGGGAGAGGAGGGGGUAUAGGGAAGGUAGGGGAGAGGAGGGGGGUAUAGGGAAGGUAGGGGAGAGGAGGGGGUAUUGAAAAACUGAGUUUAAAUGUAUUUGGCUUAGGUGAAUGUAAACUUCCGACUUCAACUAUAUAUAAGCUGCAGACUCCCAAUCCAAAGGUUGGGUGUUCAAUUCUAGCGCUAGAAAGUUUGUUAUUGUAUUUUAUUAAGCUUUUCCCUUUACUUUACACUAAUCUUAACUAUUCAGAAUGAAUGCCUAAACUUAAGUUUUAGUUUCAUGUUUGCCGAGUUUGACUGAAAAGCUAAAAUAUGGCAACAGCUGGUGUAGUUAAAACAUCAAGCCAUGGUGUAAUUCUGCUACUGCAGUUACAGCACAGGUUGGCAUUUUAUUUGAGGAUUAGAUUGUUAUUGUUACAACUGUUUAUAAGGAAAAUACAGACACAUUUUAUAUGUUCAAAUCAUGUUGGAAAUCAAUGAAAGCAUAUUUUGUUGUUGUUGCAAUAUAAAACUGGGAAGAGCAAGGACAAUUGUAGAGGGUCAAACCAAAUCUGGUAAAUCAAACCAAAUGUAUUUAUAAAGCCCUUCUUACAUCAGCUGAUAUCUCAAAGUGUUGUACAGAAACCCAGCCUAAAACCCCAAACAGCAAGCAAUGCAGGUGUAGAAGCACGGUGGCUAGGAAAAACUCCCUAGAAAGGCCAGAACCUAGGAAGAAACCUAGAGAGGAACCAGGCUAUGAGGGGUGGCUAGGAAAAACUCCCUAGAAAGGCCAGAACCUAGGAAGAAACCUAGAGAGGAACCAGGCUAUGAGGGGUGGCUAGGAAAAACUCCAUAGAAAGGCCACUUUUGAAAAAUGCACUUUUCGUAGUAAGUUUAGGAGAACGUACGUAGCAGGUUAGGAGAAAAAGGUUAUGAUAAUUAGGUUAAGGUUAGGAAAAUGGUUAAGGUUAGCUAAUACGCAAAAAAAAGUAUUAUAUACUUAGAUGUCAAUUUGACAAAAGCUGUAUCCCAUCUAGACAUAUUGCCGCUUUCCAUGUUGUCUGUAGCUUGUGAGGUGUGGAAACACUUUGUUGUUUUUAUACUAUGUUGCUCUGUCUGUAUGCUACAUCUUGCUUGUCCUAUGUUGCUCUGUCUGU
rnacentral:lncRNA from 1 species